CAGCCUGUCCACGUUGUUUCUAUGGGGUUAUUAGUACAGUUAGUACAUUGCAAGAUCACCACCAGCAUGCUACUACUAACGUAACAAUAGCCUCUCUGAGCAAGUGCAACGUUGACGCUGUCAUGCACGCAACUUCCCGAGU